rnacentral:lncRNA from 1 species
GUCCAUCUAACUGAAGUGGACCCGAAUAUCCCUCACAAUAGUAAAGUUGUGAAGGUAGUUUUUAUUAAUUUAUAGUUGAAGAUAUGGUUUUCAUCACUACAAGAAAUAAGGGUUUUAGCAGUGGUUAAAUUCGCCAGUAAAAGAAAGGAAAAUCAUUGGAAAAUGAUUUACCAGCAAUUUUUCCAACCCUUGCUAUGCC